ACUUUUCUCCCGUUUUUUUCCCUUCCUUCCCGUGGCCUGAUAGGAGCUAUUUAAAUCAGCCACGCAGCGAAUCAAACCCAACACUGCUCUCCUUCUAUGCGCCUCAAGUGAGCGGAGAGGCGCAACAUUAAAAACCUCACCAAAGCGCUGUUAUUUCAAUGGACUAAAGUUGUUUUUUCCCUCACAGGCGAUCCUUGAGGUGAAAACAAAAGGCGUCUUGAACUGAAGAGCAACGAGGGAACUUCGCCAAGGCCAAUGGCUUCCCCAACUCAGGAAAUGGGACCAUCCAAAGUUCUAUCAUAACAUUGACGAUACAAAGAAGAUGGGAGAGUCAUCGCUGCGACAAAAGGCAAGCACCUAAAAGAUAGGCGCACAGUGUCAUUUGACCGGGGUUAAUGAUUCAGUGCGGGAUCAGAGCGGGUUUCCCAUAAAGUCGGCGACAGAGGACAGAGAGGACGAUAAUAUGUUUGGU